rnacentral:rRNA from 1 species
GCGGAGUUUGAUCCUGGCUGGACUCUCCUCCUUUCUAUCGAACGGCAGGACGGACUUCGGUCUGGUGGCGAGUGGCGAACGGGUGAGUAAUGUAUCGGAACGUGCCUAGUAGCGGGGGAUAACUACGCGAAAGCGUAGCUAAUACCGCAUACGCCCUACGGGGGAAAGCAGGGGAUCGCAAGACCUUGCACUAUUAGAGCGGCCGAUAUCGGAUUAGCUAGUUGGUGGGGUAACGGCUCACCAAGGCGACGAUCCGUAGCUGGUUUGAGAGGACGACCAGCCACACUGGGACUGAGACACGGCCCAGACUCCUACGGGAGGCAGCAGUGGGGAAUUUUGGACAAUGGGGGAAACCCUGAUCCAGCCAUCCCGCGUGUGCGAUGAAGGCCUUCGGGUUGUAAAGCACUUUUGGCAGGAAAGAAACGUCAUGGGCUAAUACCCCGUGAAACUGACGGUACCUGCGGAUAAGCACCGGCUAACUACGUGCCAGCAGCCGCGGUAAUACGUAGGGUGCAAGCGUUAAUCGGAAUUACUGGGCGUAAACCGUGCGCAGGCGGUUCGAAAAGAAGAUGUGAAUCCCCAAGCCUAACUUUGAACUGCUUUUUACUACCGAGCUAGAUGGGCCAAAGGAAGGGGGAAAUCCCCGGUACAGGAAUGGCUAAAAUGGGAGGACC